rnacentral:piRNA from 1 species
UGUCAAGCUAUAAAUGUAUGGGAAGAGG